UGUCGGUCUCGUGCACCACCAUCCCGGGAGAGGAACAAAACCCUCCUCUCCUCUCCUCUCCUUCCACCAAAGCCGUAGCAGCCGUCCGGCCGGAGCGGAACCAUCCGCUCUCCCCUCGUGCUCCACGGCGGCGGCCGCGGCCCUCCACGGGGAUGGAGUCGACCGGAGGAGAUCCGUCUGGAUUCGCCGCUGCGGGUGAGCCGGCCCUACCUAGCAGCUUGCUUAUCAGGCUACUUUUCUUCUUCUUCUUGUUCGCCGUGAGCAAUCAAACCCGAAUCCUACGCUUUUAGCUUCCCUCAAUGCAUCCGUGCGUGAUUCCAUCCGAUCCGAUCCGAUCCGAUCAUUCUCCUCCCGCGCGGCCGCGCGCGCGCAAGCUCGAUCUUAGCUUCCUGGUUGGUGGGUCCCAUGCCGCGUGUGAACCCGCGUACUGGGCCAAGUCAAGCAUGGAUGGAAUGGAUGCUUGCUUUCUUCUUAGCCACGCGUGUUUUACUAGUUACCACUUUCCUCUUUUAGCGGUUUAAUUAACUGACUAGCAGCAUGUCGGGCGAUAGGUGAUAUUUAAUGGCGGGGAGUUUAGGCUGAGAAUUGCAUAUUCAAGUGUUCAGCCAGUGCAACCAUGCUAGUAUCUACAAGUAGUUUUUAAUUCCCGGGAGAUGGGUGGUAUUUAGUUCAUAAGGUUUGUUGUUUUCUGUCCAUACUAAUGUUUUUGUUCCUUUUCUCUACUUUGUCUUUUCCCUUGCUAGCUUUACAUGCUUCUAGUGAUGUGAGCGAACAUGAAGAGAUUAAACCCGCUGAUGACAGCAACACCAUCUCAGACUAUGCCCAGGAACCAUUGAAUUUUUUUCCGGAGCAAGAAUCUAACGAUGCCAGUGUUAGUACAGAAAAGAAAGAGUCUGUCGUAUCCAAAUGCAAGUCGGUGGAAGAAAUUCCAAGAGAAGCAACCGUAAAAAGGUGCAAGAACAUCGAUUCCAAGAAGCUCUUCUCAAAUAACAAAAAUAGUCCAAGCCUCACUGGUAUUCAGGCUCUCAGAAAGCCGCCAAGAAAGGGGGCCCAUCCUAUUCAACUUCGUGAGAGCGAAAUGUUUCAAGACAAAAAGCCUCCUUCCACAUGGAUAUGCAAAAAUGCAGCCUGCAAAGCUGUGCUUACCUCAGAGAAUACAUUCUGCAAACGGUGUUCGUGUUGUAUAUGCCACCUUUUCGAUGACAACAAAGAUCCUAGCCUUUGGCUCGUCUGCUCAUCAGAGACUGGUGAUACAGAUUGCUGUGAGUCAUCCUGCCACGUUGAGUGCGCACUCCAGCGCCGAAAGGCAGGGCGCAUCGAUCUUGGGCAAUCUAUGCACCUAGAUGGUAACUAUUGCUGUGCUGCCUGCGGGAAGGUUAUUGGAAUACUUGGGUUCUGGAAAAGGCAGCUAGCGGUUGCUAAAGAUGCUCGUCGGGUUGAUAUUCUUUGUUCUCGUAUAUACCUAAGUCAUAGGCUUUUGGAUGGCACAACCCGUUUUAAAGAGCUGCAUCAGAUUGUACAGGAUGCAAAAGCAAAGCUGGAAACUGAGGUUGGUCCCCUUGAUGGGUCUUCUAAGAUGGCCCGGUGCAUUGUGGGCCGGCUUCCUGUUGCUGCCGAUGUGCAGAAACUUUGCUCUCUAGCAAUGGAGAAGGUAGAUGACUGGCUGCAGUCAAACACUCAAGCAGAAACUAAACAAAUUGAUACACUUCCUACUGCCUGCAGGUUUAGAUUUGAAGAUAUUACAGCUUCAUCAUUAGUGAUUGUUCUGAAAGAAACUGCUUCCUCGCAGUAUCAUGCUAUCAAAGGCUACAAGCUUUGGUACUGGAACAGCAGAGAACCGCCUUCCACUGGGGAGCCUGUUAUUUUCCCCGAAGACCAAAGAAGGAUAUUGAUUUCCAAUCUGCAGCCCUGCACGGAGUAUGCCUUUCGGAUCAUUUCAUUUGUUGAGGACGGUGAACUUGGCCACUCCGAGUCUAAGUGCUUUACCAGGAGUGUGGAGAUCAUGCACAAGAAUAUAGAGCACGGUGCAGAAGGUUGCUCGUCUACUGCCAAGAGAAAUGUCAAGAGGCACAAUGGCAGGUCGUCAGGCUUCAAGGUGCGCCAGCUGGGUAAAGUAUUACGGAGGGCAUGGGAAGAGGAUGGUUUCCCCAGUGAGUUCUGUAAAGAUGAGAUUGAAGAUUCCUGCGAUCAGAGUGAUUCAGUGAUACUAGAGAAGGGUCAAGUUGCACAUGUUAUUUCACGCAAACUCGAUCUUAAUGAAACCUCAGUCCCAGAUUUAAACGCUGAGGUAGUCAUGCCAACAGAGUGCCUCCGAAAUGAGAACGCGUAUAGUUCAGGAAAGAAUGAUUUGAGGAAGUCCAAUGGCUGUGGUGAUUUCGCGACCUGCACCGAGGGGCAUGUCGGCGAGGCACCUGCAAUGGAAUCCCGAUCACAAAGUCGAAAGCAGACAUCAGACUUGGAGCAGGAAACCUGUGCGGAGGAUGGCAAUUUGGUCAUCGGUUCACAGAGGCACUUCUCCCGUAGGUUAGGUGAGCUAGAUAAUAACUAUGAGUACUGUGUGAAGACUAUUCGAUGGUUGGAAUGUUGUGGCCACAUCGAGAAAGAAUUUAGGAUGAGAUUUCUAACCUGGUUUAGCCUGAGAUCGACGGAGCAGGAGCGGAGGGUUGUCUUGACCUUUAUCCGCACCCUCGUUGACGAGCCAGGUAGUUUGGCAGGGCAGCUCCUGGAUUCAUUUGAAGAAAUUGUUGCCAGUAAAAGGCCAAGGACUGGUUUCUGCACUAAGCUAUGGCACUAAUCCGGAUAGGCAAACACUAAACAACACCAGUAUACUAGUAUCCAAUAUUCUUUGAAAGGGGAAACAUGACACUGGUUUGUGUACUAAGCUAUGCCAUUAAUCGAUAUUAUUUCUUAAUAAUACUCUUAUGAGGGGAAAGUAACUGGGAUAUCACAGUUUUUCCACUUCGUUGUAAUAUCACUUCUAACUGCUGAUAAAUGUACGUGUGGUUAGUUUUAUUGCUGUACUCUGAACUCUACCAUGAUAAUUGAUUGAUGCCUGUAACUCUGUGUUUACCGGAAAAGUAAUAUCAGGGAACU
rnacentral:rRNA from 1 species